GAAUGAGCAGGUGUGUCUAAACUUUUGACUGGUACUGUAUAUUUACUUUAUUUUUACGGCAACUUUAGGCAAAGUGCAGAAAUGGAUUCUUGCUGAUCUCCAUUAUGUCCACAAACCAGGUGCCACAGCAGGAACUUUAGGUAGCUAGCAACCAAGAGAUUUUAAGUUUAAAUCCUUAAUGCGGUUCAGUCCCAAGUAAUGGAUUUAGCUGUAAAAAUACAGUAACUAGUUGUAGAUUUCCCUUAUUUUCACCUCAACUAGACAGAAACCUCUAAGAACGUCCUAAAACCGUCCUUGGGGACAUCCCUGAACAAACCGGGAAAUAGACAAAACCUGGAGUGGACUAUGACUGUUAAAAAAUGUCAUGAACAGUUAAAAUUAUGUUUCUCAUGAAAUGUGAUGAUAUUUGAAGGAAACCAGAUCAAAGUAUGAAAAACUGACUGUUUCUUCUACAUUGAUAAAGUUUGAUCAUGAAGUUACUGUUUUCCCCCAAGUCAAACACUUGGAUUCAUUAUUAAGAGGACAAGGUGACCUUAACUCUCAUUUGAAUACACCAAUGGUAACAUGAUAUUCUCUUACUUCAUUUAAAUAAGUCCUGCCUUGUAACCAACAUUGGAGAAGGCGUGUUUGCAAAGGGGUGUGGUUUAUAUAGCUAGGCAGCUACUCUACUGUGUCAGCAAAUAUAAUUAAACGUUUACCCUAAAAAAUGGGGGGGGUGGGGGGGGUCGUUCAAAACUUAGACGCAGUUGUCAGGGCAACACAUCCGUCAGAGCUGCUGUGAACCGCAUCAUAAGGGACAUGCCAAACGGGAGACGUAUAAAAACCAAAAUUAUAUCAUUGAUGUAGUUUUGAAAUUAGUUUGAGAUGAUUUGACUGCAACACUGGUCACUGCGUCCAAGUGGCUUUAAGUUGAGCUGUCAGUCAAGACGAGCUCCCCGCCCACUCAGCCUGUCUUUUAAAACUUCCUGGGAGUUAGUCGUGAGAGGAAAAAGUACUUUUCAAAAUGACUGUUCAGGACCUUUAAACUCAAAUAACUUCAAGGAUGCCUUUCACAGUAAAAUAUUCUCAGUGACAUUUGACCCCUGCGUUUUGAUGUGCUCAAAUGUUGUCAUGUGUAGUGUCAUGGUGUCAUGGUGUCAUGUGUUGAAAUUUUGCAGCUCCAUGUUGUUACAUUUAUUUCACAUGUAUUUAACAUGAGAUCAUGCUUUCACAUGUGAUCACGUGUAGUUGUAUGUUAUCACAUGUUGCUUCACAUGUUAUCACAUUAACUUCACGUAGAAUCACAAUGGUCACGUGAGAUCACGUGUUCUGUAAGGAACUUCACUCUCUGUUGAGCUGAGAUGAGGGCAAUUUGAGUCUGUUGAGCUGAGAUGAGGGCAAUUUGAGUCUGUUGAGCUGAGCUGAGGGCAAUUUGAGUCUGUUGAGCUGAGAUGAGGGCAAUUUGACUCUGUUGAGCUGAGAUGAGGGCAAUUUGAGUCUGUUGAGCUGAGAUGAGGGCAAUUUGACUCUGUUGAGCUGAAAAGAGGGCAAUUUGAGUCUGUUGAGCUGAGAUGAGGGCAAUUUGACUCUGUUGAGCUGAGAUGAAGGCAAUUUGACUCUGUUGAGCUGAGAUGAGGGCAAUUUGACUCUGUUGGGCUGAUUUGAGGGCAAUUUGACUCUGUUGAGCUGAAAAGAGGGCAAUUUGACUCUGUUGAGCUGAGAUGAGGGCAAUUUGACUCUGUUGGGCUGAGAUGAGGGCAAUUUGACUCUGUUGAGCUGAAAUGAGGGCAAUUUGACUCUGUUGAACUGAGAUUAGGGCAAUUUGACUCUGUUGAGCUGAGAUGAGGGCAAUUUGACUCUGUUGGGCUGAGAUGAGGGCAAUUUGACUCUGUUGAGCUGAAAAGAGGGCAAUUUGACUCUGUUGAGCUGAGAUGAGGGCAAUUUGACUGUUGAGCUGAGAUUAGGGCAAUUUGACUCUGUUGAGCUGAGAUGAGGGCAAUUUGACUCUGUUGAGCUGAGCUGAGGUUAACUUCACCCUGUUGAGCUGAGAUGAAGGCAAUUUGACUCGGUUGAGCUGAGAUGAGGGUAAUUUCACUCCGUUGAGCUGAGAUGAGGGCAAUUUCACUCUGUUGAGCUGAGAUGAGGGCAAUUUGACUCUGUUGAGCUGAGAUGAGGGCAAUUUGACUGUUGAGCUGAGAUGAGGGCAAUUUGACUGUUGAGCUGAGAUGAGGGCAAUUUGACUGUUGAGCUGAGAUGAGGGCAAUUUGACUGUUGAGCUGAGAUGAGGGCAAUUUGACUGUUGAGCUGAGAUGAGGGCAAUUUGACUGUUGAGCUGAGAUGAGGGCAAUUUGACUGUUGAGCUGAGAUGAGGGCAAUUUGACUGUUGAGCUGAGGUGAGGGCAAUUUGACUGUUGAGCUGAAAUGAGGGCAAUUUGACUGUUGAGCUGAGAUGAGGGCAAUUUGACUGUUGAGCUGAGAUGAGGGCAAUUUGACUGUUGAGCUGAGAUGAGGGCAAUUUGACUGUUGAGCUGAGAUGAGGGCAAUUUGACUGUUGAGCUGAGAUGAGGGCAGUCGAAGGGAGGCCCCUAAACGUCAGGUAAUCCAAGAAAGAAAACAAGUGGUGGUCAGUGGUCAGUACUAUGGUCAGUACUAUGGUCAGUACUAUGGUCAGUACUAUGGUCAGUACUAUGGUCAGUACUAUGGUCGUACUAUGGUCAGUACUAUGGUCAGUACUAUGGUCAGUACUAUGGUCAGUACUAUGGUCGUACUAUGGUCAGUACUAUGGUCAGUACUAUGGUCAGUACUAUGGUCAGUACUAUGGUCAGUACUAUGGUCAGUACUAUGGUCAGUACUAUGGUCGUACUAUGGUCAGUACUAUGGUCAGUACUAUGGUCAGUACUAUGGUCAGUACUAUGGUCGUACUAUGGUCAGUACUAUGGUCAGUACUAUGGUCAGUACUAUGUGUGCAGUCAGUUGCCACUGUUCUGUUCCUCCUAUAUGAACAUCUUCCAGAAACCCUGAAAUACCUGCUAACGUACUUAUGGAAAGACUAGUACUACUGUUGACCCAAAGCUGUGAUUGAAUGUACAUUGUAAUGAAUGUUAUUACGAUGAUAAAUAUAAUGGAUGAUGAUUCCAGGUGGUCUAUAUAUCCUGAUCCCAGAUCUGUUCACCGGCUAUGCUGUCUUACCUACUCCAAUAGUUUUUUCUCCCAUUGUCACACCAGCACAAACAGAUCUGGGACCAGGCUAUGUGUAAUAGGGGUAAGACACCCAUCAACUACAGAAACCUGCUGCGUUUAUAGCCUGAGUGCCAGUCUGUGCCAGUCUUUUUUUUUUGUGCUAUCAUUCCAACUCCUGGUCACUCGUUGUCAUGUGACAAUGAGCUGUGGAGUUGAUAAGAGCGACAAAAAAAACACACAAAAACUGAUCUGGAACCAGGCUAGCUGCGUUACCUUUCAGAACUGCUUCCAGUACCUUUCAACCAAGAAGAUCCACACCAAUAGACCUAAACUGAACUCCUACUGAUUUGUCAGAGUUGGGGUCCAUUUGAAUUCCAGUCAAUUUAAGAAGCAAACUGAAAUGUCAAUUCCAAUUGUCCAAUUGUCUUCAAUGCUAUUCAAUUAGAAACAUUUGGGAAUUGGAAUUUGGUUUACAUACUUUAUUGACUGCAAUUGCAUUUGGAACUGACCCCAGGCCUGUUAUUUAUCUGAUUUUACAUUUACACAGUAAUAUGUGUAGAAUGAUAAUGAUUUUACACAGUAAUAUGUGUAGAAUGAUAAUGAUUUUACACAGUAAUAUGUGUAGAAUGAUAAUGAUUUUACACAGUAAUAUGUGUAGAAUGAUAAUGAUUUUACACAGUAAUAUGUGUAGAAUGAUAAUGAUUUUACACAGUAAUAUGUGUAGAAUGAUAAUGAUUUUAUGCAGUGAUACGUGUAUAAAUGAUAAUGAUUUUACACAGUAAUACGUGUAUAAAUUAUGAUAAUGCUGGGCUUUACAUUUACGCAGUGAUACGUGUAUAAAUGAUGAUAAUGCAUACAUGCUAGAAUUAAAUUAGGAACAAAUCCGC